rnacentral:rRNA from 1 species
CCCUUAGAUGUUCUGGGCCGCACGCGUGCUACACUGAGUGGAUCAGCGGGUCAGGUUGCGCGAAAGUGUUUCCUAAUCUUGAAAUCCGCUCGUGAUGGGGAUUGACGGUUGCAAUUUUCCGUCAUGAACGAGGAAUACCUUGUAAGCGUGGGUCAUCAUCCCGCGCUGAAUACGUCCCUGCCCUUUGUACACACCGCCCGUCGCUCCUACCGAUUGAGUGGUCCGGUGAGGCUUUGGGAUCUGAGCAAAAAGAGCGUUUCGCUCGUUUGGCUCGGAAAACUCAGUCGAACCUUAUCAUUUAGAGGAAGGAGAAGUCGUAACA